AUGAAACCAAAGUUUGGGGAUAAUGUAUCCGGACGUGUUCGUACAACAAUCAAGUCAGUACCUCAGAAUGUAAAAAAGUUCUGUAUAAAGUCCUCAUAUGGGAAACCAGCUGUGAGAUUUUGGUAGCUCUGUUAGUGGGGUUGCCAAGAUAUGGAGUAUAUGUUGCAUUUUCUCCUGUAAGUGACAAUGUAGCAACUGCCUCAGCUGAUCGUACUGCAAAGUUGUGGAACACAGAUGGCACUUUAUUGAGAACAUUUGAAGGUCAUUUAGACCGCCUAGCUCGUAUUGCCUUCCAUCCAUCUGAGAAGUAUUCUUGCUUUGGAAGGCCACAUCAAACCUGUUUAUGGAGUUGAUUUCUCUCCUAAUGGCUAUCAUUUGGCCACUGGUUCUGAGGAUAACACUUGUCGGAUUUGGGACUUGAGAAAGAAAAAGUCAUUGUACAUAAUUCCUGCCCAUUCAAAGCUUAUUUCACAGGUCAAAUUUGAGCCUCAGGAGGGAUAUUAUUUGGUCACUGCUUCAUAUGAUACAACUGUUAAGGUAUGGUCAUCUCGAGACUUCAAGCUUAUCAGGACAUUGUCAGGACAUGAAGCAAGAGUUACACCCUUAGAUGUCAUAGGAGGUCUACACUCCGAGGAAUGCGCCUAUACUAGUGAGGAAAUUGAUGUGGUUCGUGAGCAACCGGCUAAGUGUUUUACCCGCAAGUAUUUACUAUUGGCUUGAGCGCGCUUGAUCGAGGUGGUUUAGUUGUUAUAGAACAAUCGUUUACAUUAAAAUGUAUGCGUACAUUGAAAUUGGAACGUAUAUUUGAAUGUAGUACGUGCACUUUGGUUUUGGGAUAUA